rfam:Equus caballus chromosome 6, whole genome shotgun sequence.
CCAAAGGCCUUGUUCAAGGCCCCUUCCAGCUUUAGAAAAUAUUUCU